UGAGAUGAGCACACCCAAGGAUCCUACU
rnacentral:piRNA from 1 species